GGGAAUCUGCCCUUGGGUUCGGGAUAACCGUUGGAAACGACGGCUAAUACCGGAUGAUGUCGAUAAGACCAAAGAUUUAUCGCCCGAGGAUGAGCCCGCGUAGGAUUAGCUAGUUGGUGGGGUAAAGGCCUACCAAGGCGACGAUCCUUAGCUGGUCUGAGAGGAUGAUCAGCCACACUGGGACUGAGACACGGCCCAGACUCCUACGGGAGGCAGCAGUGGGGAAUAUUGGACAAUGGGCGAAAGCCUGAUCCAGCAAUGCCGCGUGAGUGAUGAAGGCCUUAGGGUUGUAAAGCUCUUUUACCCGGGAUGAUAAUGACAGUACCGGGAGAAUAAGCCCCGGCUAACUCCGUGCCAGCAGCCGCGGUAAUACGGAGGGGGCUAGCGUUGUUCGGAAUUACUGGGCGUAAAGCGCACGUAGGCGGCUUUGUAAGUUAGAGGUGAAAGCCCGGGGCUCAACCCCGGAAUUGCCUUUGAUACUGCAUGGCUUGAAUCCAGGAGAGGUGAGUGGAAUUCCGAGU
rnacentral:rRNA from 1 species